GGCGUCGAUUAGGCAUGCAAGUCGAACGAUACCGCAAGGUAUAGUGGCAAAAGGGCGAGGAACACGUGAGUAAUCUACCAUCGUGUGGGGAACAACCUUGGGAAACCGAGGCUAAAACCGCAUAAGACCACGGCCUGGCAUCAGGCUGUGAUCAAAUGGGGGGACCGCAAGGCCUCUAGCAUGAUGAUGAGCUCGCGUCCCAUCAGCUUGUUGGCGGGGUAAUGGCCCACCAAGGCUUUUGACGGGUAGCUGGACUGAGAGGUUGGUCAGCCGCAUUGGGACUGAGACACUGCCCAGACUCCUACGGGAGGCAGCAGUGGG
rnacentral:sRNA from 1 species